rnacentral:tRNA from 1 species
GGGGAAAUAGCUCAGCUGGGAGAGCGCCGCGUUCGCAAUGCGGAGGUCGUGGGUUCGAUCCCCAUUUUCUCCACCA